AGGCACGUGCGUAAUGUCCGUGCCCGAAUAAAAGCAUUCCUCCUACCAUCGCCCCCCUGAGUGUCUCGCUGCUGUGCUCCUUAACAUUUGGUGGAGGCGCGGAGAUAUAUGGCGACGACAUAUCGACACCCUUCCUGAGCCGCCGCUUCCACGCAACGACGGUAAGGCUUUGACCACCCAUACCCCCGAUAACACCACCCUAACCGAUCAACCGAGAAGAUUUUGGACCAGACAACGAGAGAUGACGAGGGCAUGAAAGACGCCGACGCCUAUGGUACAACAAUGAAGCAAGCUCCGUCGCUAGCUCCAGGUGCAGGGUUCCGCGCAGGGAAAGUAUCCGCACCAGGUCUCCACUCCCGUGCGGCAAAGCAGCGAACAUCAAGCUGAUGAAGGUCCCCUUAUCAGUAGGUCGGUCCUCGGAAGGGAGAGUAUAAUUAUAACGGCGACGGAAGCACGGGCGUAAUGCCUGUGCCCGAAUAAAGGUAUUCCUCGUCUCAUCA